CUCUGUUGGAGGAAGAUAAGAGACUAGAAGUCCCUCUUCCCAGCCAGUUCCAACACUCCGGGCUCCGGUCUGCGUGCAGAGUAAGGGAAGCGAGGUGGCCCAGGCCGGGCCCCCGGCAGCAGGCAGGACAGAUUCUGGGAGAGAAGGUGAAAAGCAGCAAGAGCGUCCAGCAUUGGUUUCACCGCAGAGAUGAGCCAGGGUACGAAGCAGCGUCACUGGGGCAGGGACAGUGGCCCCAUCCGGCUCCUCCCGCUGGAACCAGGCUCAGUGUCCCAGCCUCCAGAGCUUUGAGCUGUGUCUGGAGCAUCUGGACUUUAUCUCCAUGUACUUGGUGCAUCUGUUAGCAGUGUGCCCUAAGAUGUUUUCAUAGGAACACUCUACUUUUGCAUAGUGGGGACAAUUUGUAUCUAUUCCCGAAUAAGUCAGCAACGCCACAAACUGGGGGGGGUGCCUUGUAUCAGGAGACCCUUUACUAUCACACCCUGCCUAGGGGUGGGCACUCUUGUCGUUCCCCUUUUAUACAUGAAGAAACCAAGAUGAGGAGAGAGAAUCUAGCUACCUGCUCAAGGUCACACAGCUGGCAAAUGGCAACCUUGACUUUGAACCCCGAUGUGAACCCAGAAAGUAUGCCAGGCUCCCGAGUCUCAAGACACUACAGCUGCAGCUUGAACCCUGGUGUUCUCCACCAUCACAGCAACUUUCAUAGGCAUUAAAAAGUUGAGAAUUUGAUUCGCGAUGGCUGCAUGAUAGGCCGUUAUGUGCGCGUAUGGUGAGUUAUUAAACGAUCCCCCGUGUGGAACAGUGACGUGUUCCCGGUGUUUCUAUCCCGUAAAAAUGCCCCAACCAGCCUCUUCCUUGCGGUGCACAUCCGGGGAUCCGUUCCCAAGGACCCCCCUCAUCUACAGGUGCCAGGGAUCAGGAGGGGAGGGCUCCGAAUCACUGGGCUCCUGUGAGACCCAAACCCUCUCUCGGAGCAGCCAGGGACCUUUCAGUGGUCUUCUCUCCAGUGGUAAAUUCAGGCUCUGCUAGGAGAGUGACAGGCGACAAAACCUCUGACAUUUAUUGUGACAUCUCCCGCACGACUGGUUCCCACACACACUCCCACCCAUACCAUCACCCAUGUGAACAUAUUCACAAGCAAGCACACAACACUCAUUCUCUCCCACAUGCUCAUCACUCACUCACUAACAUGUGCACACAAAUGCACACAAACAUAAACAUGCCAACACACAUUCACAAACAGUCACAAAUAUAGGCACACUCACAUACCAUUCUCAUCUGCUAAAUACACAUCCACGCAGCAUAUGCACACAUACACAUUUAUACACUUACCUACACUCACACGGUCCCACAUACUCAUAUCCAUACUCACAAGUAUACACACAUAUGCAAACGUAUACUCGCACCUACGUAUACAUAAUCACAUACACACAAACAUAUACAUAUGUCUACUCGCACCUACGUGUACACACACACAGACCCAUAUACAUACAUCUACUACUUGCACCUACACAAUCACAAGACACACCUAUGCAUAUGUCUACUCGCACCUAUGUGUACACCAUCACACACACACUGUCAUAUAGACACACACAUACUUGUAUAUGCUCGCAUGUGCACAUAGGCAUGCACCCCACUGGGGUGCGUGCCUCUCCCCUGCUGCUGGGGGCAUGCUGGAAAUCUUUGACGUUCCAUGGCUCGUGGGCUCUUCACCCUAACCCCUAUCCUCAUCUUUGUGUGCCCAACUCCCUGUGCAUGUGUCUGUGUCCAAAUUUUCCCUUUCUGAAGGACACCUCUUAGGGGCCAGGGGCUGCCCUCAUGAAGUCAUCUUAACUAAGUACAUCUGCAGCAACUCUGUUUCCAAGGAAAGUCCGUUAGAGGUACUGGGACUCAGGAUUUCUACACAUGAAUUGAGGCAGGAGGAGAGGACACAAUUCAGCCUAUGACGUGGAGCGAGGUAAUCUCCACCCCCUUCCUCCGAGCAUGCCAUCUGGGAGGGUGACAUCAGACGACAUCAGCGUAGACGUGCUGUCGCCUAACUGUGCGCUAACUGUCCUACAGACACCCUCGAUCCGCUCGCUUGGUUGCAGUACUGCAUUCAGGACUUUUUUGGGUAGGAAUGAGGCUAAUUGAACAGACUGUGUGGGCACAGGAUAUUUGCCUACAAUAUGUGAGACACGGACCCUGAGCUCUCUUUUCACACAGGUGGCAGGAGGGGGGCUGCACGAGCUGUCCCCCCGGAACUCCAUCACGGUUCUGCUGUGUCCUCGUAAGAAGAGAGGAGAAUUAAACAGAUGGGCUCUUCAGUCUGUUUCUUAUGAACACUGCAUUGGUUUAAUCAUGACAGAAACUUCGCAUCUAUUAAUGUCUCUUUCAGCAAUUUCUAACUCACAUUCUCCCUAAAUAUUCCAGAGAGCAACCCAGCAAUUUCCUUCAGCUAAUGCAUCGGAGGAGGAAAUCAGGAACCUCUAAAGUUAUGAAUUUUGCUCCCAUCUCCCCCCUCCAAGGAAACAGUAUGCUUCUCAGGUGGGGACUGGGCUCUUUUCGGAUAGAUUUCUAUCAAGAAAGUGUGACUCAAGUCUACUCAUGCGUCGGGCGUGCUUGAGGUCUGCUCUACCAGCUGUGUGACUUGGAGCAAAAUACUUAGCCUCUCUGAGACUCGUGUUCAAAAUGCAUGAAAGAGAGAGAGUAAGACCUCUUCGUCUAAGAGGGUGUGGGAACUCGGCGCCGUGAUGUAGGUGGAGCCUCUGGCACAGCGUGGGCGCGGAGCAGGUGUGUGCUUAGCACAGGCUCCUUUCUCGUCUCCCCGGAGCAGGGGUCUUACCAGCAUCUGAUCCCCUCCCCUGCCACCCACUAAAGAUUAUGGCCUCUCAAACACAUGAGUCAUUUGCAGAUUCAAACUAUUAAUAUACAAUUGCUUUCGUGCACUUUACAUAAGACUCUAAAAAUUAUGUUACAACUAUUGAUUCCAAGAUUCUGUCAAGACAAGAACGAUCGGCCUCAGUGUCCCACCCUGCCUGCCUGCCCGCCUGCCGCACAGCUGUGCAGGUCAUGUGUUUGAUGCGCACAGGGGCGGCUGAUGUGUUAGGUCAGCCUGCAUCUGCUGCUGGGAGCAGAGAGUCCGGCUGCCAUAGCAAAUGGCCUUGUGGUUCCUGUAGGCUAGGAAGCCCAGAAGUCUGAGCUUGCUGGCCUCACUGUCACCGCUGAGCGAUGGCACCAGGGACCCAGGCUCAUCAAGUUGCCUUUUCAUCCUCAAUCUUGUUUCCUCUUGGUUUCAAAAGGGCUGCUGCAGCCCCAGACAUCAUGUGUACCUUCAAGACAGCAAGAAGGGAGACGAGGGCAGGCUGUGGCCAUGUCUGUGCCUUUCGUCAGGAAAGCUAGAGAUUUUACAGACGCCGGAUGACUUCUGUUUUCAUUCAGUGGGCCUCUGGCUGCAAGAGGAAUGUAUUUAUCUGGGUUGAAUGGUGGUUCUUUGCUACCAAGGCAGAGGGUCGGGAUGGAUGUCGGGUGGACUGCUAAAUGGGCCUGUCUUAAAAACUCCGGAUGACCCAAGUAUAGCCACUUAGGAGAGAGGCUGGAAAUAGUCAGAUGGGGAGCCCCUCUGGGGCUAUAGGGACGAGAGCUGGUCCUGCAGAGGAGGCUCUUUCACUUGGGGGGCCCUGUUACUUUUGUGAGGAGGGAAAGGAAAGGAAAUGGGUAACAGUCCACAGACAGACUCCUUCCUGCAGCUCGGACAUCUUACAGAACGAGCAGCUUGACGCCUGUGGGGGGACAUUGCCUUCAUCGUUCUGGCCUAUUCAGCUUUGUGUUUAGACAGCACUUGUGGCAAUAAAUGAAUACGACUGGCUUUUAA